rnacentral:rRNA from 1 species
AGAAUCAACGCUGGCGGCGUGCCUAACACAUGCAAGUCGCACGAGAAAGGGUAGCAAUACCUGAGUAAAGUGGCGCACGGGUGAGUAACACGUGAAUUAUCUACCUCCGAGUGGGGAAUAACUGAGAGAAAUCUUAGCUAAUACCGCAUAACACUUACGAGUCAAAGCAGCAAUGCGCUUGGAGAGGAGUUCGCGGCAGAUUAGUUAGUUGGCAGGGUAAUGGCCCACCAAGACGAUGAUCUGUA